UACGUAGGGGGCAAGCGUUGUCCGGAUUUAUUGGGCGUAAAGAGCGUGUAGGCGGCCUGGCAGGUCAGCUGUGAAAACUCGAGGCUCAACCUCGAGACGUCGGUUGAAACCACCUGGCUAGAGUCCGGAAGAGGAGAGUGGAAUUCCCGGUGUAGCGGUGAAAUGCGCAGAUAUCGGGAGGAACACCGGUGGCGAAGGCGGUUCUCUGGGCCUGUACUGACGCUGAGGAGCGAAAGCGUGGGGAGCGAACAGG
rnacentral:rRNA from 1 species